UUAGCCUUACCGGUGGAUCACUCGGUUCGUGGAUCGAUGAAGAACGCAGCUAACUGCGAUAAUUUAUGUGAACUGCAGAAAUCUUGAGCAUAAAAGUUUUGAACGCAUAUUGCGGCAUUGGGGUCAAACCCUUUGGCACGUCUGGUUCAGGGUCAUU
rnacentral:rRNA from 1 species